CAAGAAUAUUUAUUGUUGUGAUAAGUAUCUUCCUAAUUGUGUCAAAAAUUGUUCAAAAUAACAAUGACAAUAUUAUAGCAACAAACUAAGUCCUCUUGUUCCACAAACCAGUGUUUCUCUGUGAGAUUAAACAUCACAAGGUAAAUACAAAACAAGCAAGAUGAAGAUAUUCAAAAUUCUGUGUACCAUACUGUUGAUGCUGAUGGCAGUGUUAGCAGGAACAGCCAGUGGACGGCAUGCAUACGACAGCAGAAUUAAAAGAGAUGCUAAGAACAAAUUGGGAAGAGUAGAACCGAUUCUACCAAACGACUUCAAUAAGGCAAUGGGUGAAAAGAGAUGAGAGGAUCAGUAACACAACGGGCUGGAUCUCUUAUAAUCAUAUUGGUGGAUUUGGUCUCUAUAUCAACAUUUCUGUAUUUGUUAGAUUUCAUUUUAUCAUCUUAUCAAUACUUGUUUAUCUUGACAAGCUCUAUACAAUAAUUAUAUUUUGUAACUGAAGAAAUAAAUCAUUUGCCUAAAGAAA